rnacentral:rRNA from 1 species
AGGUCCCAAGGGUAUGGCUGUUCGCCAUUUAAAGUGGUACGCGAGCUGGGUUUAGAACGUCGUGAGACAGUUCGGUCCCUAUCUGCCGUGGGCGCUGGAGAAUUGAGGGGGGCUGCUCCUAGUACGAGAGGACCGGAGUGGACGCAUCACUGGUGUUCGGGUUGUCAUGCCAAUGGCACUGCCCGGUAGCUAAAUGCGGAAGAGAUAAGUGCUGAAAGCAUCUAAGCACGAAACUUGCCCCGAGAUGAGUUCUCCCUGAGACUUUAAGUCUCCUGAAGGAACGUUGAAGACGACGACGUUGAUAGGCCGGGUGUGUAAGCGCAGCGAUGCGUUGAGCUAACCGGUACUAAUGAACCGUGAGGCUUAACCUUACAACGCCGAAGCUGUU